GCCCAUUUAGUGAGGAAGUAAGUUUUGUGGCAUGGAGAAUAUCCACAUUGGAUCUGCUCAGUAUCCAGCGAACAUCCUGCAAAUAUUUUGCCCCCUUUGUUGCAUUGUUGGUGAAGGCUGGUGAUGCUGGGUCCAGUGAAGAUGAUGGCGUUGCGGCCUGACAGGUCCUGGCACAGCUGUUUGGCCACAAGGCUGUGCAGCUGUGGCUUGUUUUUCAGUGUAUCCAGGCCGUCUGGACCUGGACCCUCCUUCAAGUGGACAUAGAUCUGGAUAGGAAAUAAUGUGAUAAGAUGGACGAACACACCUGACAGAUAAUACUGUAUUCUGCUUUGCAAGUGUUCAUUUCCAGUGGAUAAGUGUUUGAGAGUGAUCAUUUGCAAAGCACAGUGCAAAACAAACAAAAAAAAAACGUAAUUUCAAGUAUGAUAAAGCUUUCUUUGGUUUGAACAUUUUUCAGUUGGACAACAAACACAGACUAAAUAAAAGAGAAAAUGCUCUAAAAUUAAUCAGAAAGCAGAAACCUUUUUGAUGUUUGCACAUCUUUAACUCCAGUCUUUAUUCACAAAUAAAUGUUGUAAAUCGCGGUGGUCUAAA